GGAGGCCGUAACUGGAGUUGAUAAAUCCUCAGACCUUGACCUCAACGUUUAUCUGCUUAGGCUGCUGCUUUCCAUUUCCCCCAGCUGUGCAAAGGAGAACGAGGAGCUCCGUUUCCUCCGGAGGCAGCCCCCGGUUUAAGGGCAGCAGAAGAGCAAUCCCACAGAGGACGAGUGGACUUCUUCCUGUCCUGACCAGUGAUGGAGGAGAAGUGAGAGAAUGGAGACUUCUGGUUCCUGCUAGAGAUGGACUACUGGAAGAGGCAGACUAGUGUGCUUUUCAUUACCAACAGCACAUCGGCCAGUGGAUGCAUCAAAGAGUUAAAUGCAAAGAGAAGUGAUCAGCUUUAGAAGGUGUGACUACCAAUAGAAACUACUGCCAGGCAUUGCAACCUUGAUCAUUACCUUGCAACACGAUCUAUAUGGGCAAAACCAGCAGCCCAAGAAAUGUUCUCAGUGUGUGAAUAGGAGGAACAAAGAGGUUAAUGGAGUGGUAGCAGCCAGCUCCCCCCUGCCCUGCAUGCACUGACAGCAGCAAAGCCCAGCACACGCUUUGUGGCAGCAUCUCGUGGGCAAAGCAGUCCCAGAGUGGGGAAUUUUCACUUAAUUUAAUUUCUUGCCAAUUAACAGCAAGUUCUGAUGCCUGGUUUGAGUACUGAGUUAAAAAAAAAAAAAGGAAUACAAUCAAAAAACACUUAAGGAAAGCCAUUACCUCCCACUCCCUGGGGCUCAGCUACAGCUGAACACCUCUCCACACGCAUUCCAAGUCUCAGCUCCCUGUUUUCACCACCAGUCCCUUUGGUGGGGUGACACUGUGUGUGCUGGAAGAGAUUCUGCUGCUCUGUGCUUUGUACUGUUUUAUUUUGCACUCGGUGCAGAUCACCCACAGUCCUUCCUGGGUGUUCCUGGAUUGGUGGGGGCCACCUGCAGGCUGCAGUCCCUUGCAGGUGUCCCUGUGCCAGCACAGGUCACCCAUGGCUGCAGUCCCCCUGGGGUGUCCAUAUUUAGCGACAUAUCCUGAUGUUCUGGGGGAAGCUGGGGGGGCUCUUCCCCCUUCUCUGCUCCCCUCUGCCUGGCUUUGGAGAGAGUGUUAAUUAAACAGCGUUUCAAGGAUUCAUCUGCUAAGGCUCCUUUCUUAAUUAGCACACCCUGUUAGCAGUAAAGCUCUGUAACACAAGCAAAGUUUCACAUCUCUUUGCAUUUCCUUCUCUUGUGUUUGCUCUGGAGAUAAUGGACGAUGGAUGGUGCAGGGGUCAUUCAGCUGACCAGGAGCCAAAGUUUUGUCUUCUCCUUCCCUUUCCAUUUGAUCACCAGGAAUGUUCUGUGUGAACAAUUCCAAUAGGUGAGGCGAGCACUUGGAGGACUGCCCGACGGAGUGCUUUGGAUGGCAGUCAACACACCCAGAGCGUGUCAGCGUGGUGG
ensembl:lncRNA